UUCACGGCCAACUCUCGCCAUCCCAGACCAAAACGCGCGCCGCUGCCUCCGCUCUGUUUUCUACGACGCCCAUUCGCCGGGACCAACUCCACGGAGAAGAGAGAGGGGGCUCUCAGGCCCUCACCCGUCAGCCAUCACAUGGGUCGCGGGUGUGCUGCUUUGAUGAUUAGCUCACGAGAAGAUCAGGAAUAUGUCCGCAUUGAAUGUGAUUUGAAAUCAGUCUGUGUGCUGCUGCAGAAGGAAGUGGAACUGCGAGUUUUGCCUCAGUAAUGCUGGCGGUUCCACAUCUAAUGGGUCAAUGUCAAGCAUCAGAUGUGCUAUAUCGUCCAAGGAUAUAGAUGUAUUUCACGCCUCCAGGGAGGGGAACGCAUUUAGGAUUGCAUACACGCCAAACAAUGCAGAUAAACACUUACCUCUUGAGAUAGACCUUGUGCACCAUAUUUGUCGUCCCAGAACAUUGUUGCUAUGCGAUAGAUUUGAGUUAUGCUCAAAACCUGCGGAAAACAUGCAAAAAUUUCAUGCUUGACAGCUUGCAAAAAAUUAAUCCAAGUGUUUAUAAGAUUUCUUGUUUACAACUUACAGGGCAAAGCUCAUUUGUGAUUUCCUCCAGGGUUUUGUGUGACUUCUGAUGCAGCACCUGUAAUAUGAAUUUAUUUAAUGAGUAGAGUAGUAGACAGAUGAAACUAUGAUGUCCGUGAAUAACUGCAGGUUUUCAGGCAUACCAGGAACCCAACUGCCUGCCUUAUGUGUUGCAGUUCAUCCCAAGAUGCCCCUGCAUACUGCAUUACAGCGAUAGAUUAGCUCUCUCUUGCUGAUUACAAUUAUUGUCUUGCUGAAAUUACCCAAUAAAAAAGGGGAAAAUCUUCACCUCUUCAGUUGUUCUAGAGUACCAUUGCUCCAGUUCUUGUAAGCCAGCCUUCAAGAAUUCCCCAUUGCUAAAAGAGCAGCAUUCCCGACGAAGUAGCAAACUAAACAAAAAGGUAAAGGCUUCAUACAGUCCAGAAUCAACCAUGUAAACUAUAUACCAGAGACGUAUUGGUGUCUUAUAUGAGCUUGUGCAGUCAACUAGUCAAGAAUAGUUAAGGGUGUAGUAUAUAAUAAUACCUGUUGAAGAGUUGCACAUUCAAGUAUGCAUAUACUUGACUAAAUGUUUUCUUGAUUAUCAUCGGAGGUACCUACAAAAUUAAAAUUGAAUUCAGUAAUGCAUUUCUGUACUUCCCUAACUGUAAGGUGGCUGAAAUAUUAAGAUUGGACUCACAUGGUUAUUUUUCAUUGUUUCCAGUGUAUUUUCCAGGCACUUAACUAUGCUUUGCCAAUGUACACUUGAUGCUUGCCUUGAUAGUGCAUUAGAGUGUAUACUUUUUAGUGAACCCCGAGAUGGUCUCACGCGAUUAGCUCUUGGAGCCUAUGAAGGUCAAUAACUGUUAGAAAACUGUGUUGUCUUGCAGCCAGGUCACGAAAAUGACUUAUUUGUUGUACCUGUAUGCAUAGAGUCAAGAAUGGGCUUAUUUCUUUCUUCAGGUUAUCUCUAAUUAUCCCAUAUAUCUUCUCAACGUAUGCUGUUAACUGUUGCUUGAACCGAAGUGCUGGAUACUUUGCUUCUACCAUUGAUGCAGUGUCAGGCCUUCCUACCAUUCCACCGUAUCCACUAGUUAUGCCUAAUCCUGAUGAUGAUGUCCGGGCACUCUGAAGAUGGAAUAUUUAGGAUGUAAGCUCAGCUCAUGUUUACAAUGUGAAUAUCAGUCCAUGGUACUUAAUGAAAGUUGACCACUGAAAUCUUGACGUCCCAGAAAACAAUACAUAGGAAAAAACACAUUAUAUAUUUAUAAGAGCAUUGUGCACUACCAGUCAACCACUGGCCUGUAUUAUGGGGACCCUGGCAAACUUGACGUUGCAAUCUCAGAUAAAAACCUUUAUUCAUGCAAAACACAAGUCUGGAUGGCGAACUUACCUGCACCAUUCUACUAAACAGGCUGCCUGUUGCAGUCCGGCUGCGAUUCGAUCCUUUACUUGAUGAACUGCUAGCUUUGAGGGUAUUUUGUAAUAAGUAGAGGAGAGUUGAUGUAGUUGACAACCAAUAAGCUAGCUCUCCAGAACUUUCAGCACCCUAUAAAUUAAAUUCCGGUGAUGAGUUUCUCCACAACUUGCUUGCCAGCAUUGGUGGUUCUUACACCACGGAAAAGGGAAAGUGAUCUGCAUAUUUAUGGGAGUAACAACCUCAACUGAUGACCUAAUUGUUUGGAUGAUUCGAUCAAAUAUGUUAGUCUUCUCUGCUUCAAAUGAACGCCAGCGCAGGAGUGAUUUGUAGACAAUGCAUGCUGCAGCUGAUUUUUUGGCAUCAAAUCUCCUGUCUUCUACAAGACUUUUAAUCAGGACAUCAUGAUUUUCCUGUGUAGGUGUGAGGGAAGAACAAUUGGCGAGACAUCAAUCUUCACUAUGCAUCAUGAAGAGAUUAAUACUAUCUAAGGCAAUAAAGCAGUGAACGUACUUGCUGUCGAUCUGUCAGUGAUUUUUGUUUGCUUAGAUUCUUUACAGGAGGAACAACCACCUGUUCCUGCAUGCAGAGCAUAUGUACCCAUGUUAAUAAGAUAUCUGACUGGGAUUAUGCAAUAUAUAUUAUAAUAUGUUUGCCAGGUAAAACUUAUAGCACAUACAUUGACUAUUUUAGCUUCUUCAAGCUGGUGUCCAUUGUCAACUUCCAUAUGAAUGAGGUUCUGACAUAAAAUUCAGUGCAAAUCUUUUAGUUAUCAAGUAGCAAUAAAAGUUCCAGAGUAGUGUUUUCCUAAAGCUCCUUCAAGGGAACUUACCUCCAUUACUGAUGUCUGAUACAUUUCAGGGGUGACCACGGCCUGAACAGCAGGCGCUGAAUUACUGCGGAGCAACUGGAUCUCCGACUCUAAGAUGGCAAUCUUGCUUUCCAGUCUAAACAGACCAUUUUUUUUAACUUGUGAGGCUCUCAUAGGAUGUGAACCUCCAGAAAGAAAGAAAAAAAAAGGUGCGAAUGAAGUGUCCACAACUGGCACUUCUACUAUCUUUGGUGGUGCCUGUUCAAUUGCUAACUUCGCGGCUUCUUUCUCCUUUAAUACUGCUGCAUGGGCUUCCUCAAUCUUUUCUUGCAUUUCUUGCAAUGCAGAUUGCAACUUUCCAAUUUCUUGGCCCUUGGCUUCUUCAAGGUCAGUCUACCAGCAAGCGAUAGUUAAAAAAAGUCAUUUGGGACCAAGUAGACAACUAAAACACUACAUAAACUGCAAUAUUGAUCCAGGUGAAUUACCCUCAAACGCUUUUCAACAUCUAACCGCCAUGUAAGUUCUUCUGCUCUCUUUUCAAGCUUGUCUUUAGCUUCUUUGAGUGCGCCGGUCUCUCUUGCUUCCUGUUUACAUAGUUAUGCUUACUUUACUAUGCACUAAUAAUGAAUGGUGUACUUCUGCUUCACAUGUGAAAUUAGACAAACCAUUCUCAGUUUCCGAAGUUCCUUUCUUGCGAUGCGUGCCCUCCACAAGCACUGAAGAAUCAAUGAAGCUCUCUUUUGCUGCUUAUAAGCAACAUAAGCUUUGUGUUGGCGCCAUCGAGUCUGUGAUUCAUACAGCAGCUAAUUAUAGUUUCUUAUGAAAACUAACUACAAAUCAUGAUCACCAUUGCAGAGCGAACCUGGAUAAUUAUGGAAGCCUUGGUCUCUCUUCGGAACCUGUGUUCAUUGCGAGCUGCCAUUGCCCGUAUUCCUGUCUGUAUUACUAUAGCUGAUUCAUAUACUUGACGGUAAGACCAGUUUACUGACCUUAAGGGCACAAAGUGCUCAAAGUAGUGAAGAAUUACCUCUCCAGAACUUCUGAGAUUGAACUGAGGCUUUUCGUAAGUUGACAAAUUCCUUUCGCAUAAGAUAUGUCUUUAUACGCCUCUGGAUUAGUCGCGCAGCAUUGGCCAAUACUUCUGCUCUUCGAGCAUCCAACUCUGCCAUCUGACCAGCUCUUAAGAAUACCUUUGUUUUCCCUAUCUGAUAUAAAAGGUCACAAGUGAGGUCAUACAAAAAAUAUAUGCUGUAUAAGAUUGUUUUAUCUCCCGUAUUCACCCAUUGACAUAGGCUACCUGAUAUCCUUUCAAACCCAUUCUAUCACAUAUUGCUGCACAGGCGGCCUUCUCAUCAGAGCUGAAAAAGAAUUGAGCUCAGUUAAACCUUCUUCAGAAAAAAUCAGAGUAUAUUUUAUUGGUAUAUUUCACUUGAGUUUCACCCCUACUAUAUCGUCUACUUAGAUCACAGCUAGAGCAAUCGUACCUGUCCACAAGCUCUGGUGCAAGCAUCCCAAACCGAUCAAUGAACUCAUCAAAUGUCCUCUUUGUUGGAUAGCCAGCACAGCUGAUCCUGAUUGCUUCCAGAACACCCUGUAUCAUGACAAUGUGCAAAUGUCGAACCAAUCAAGACACAACAUGAAAUCAUGGUUGCAGAAUAAACAUAGUAGAGCAAAUUCACAUACAUACCCCACAUCUCAAUUGAUUCAAGACGUUGAAAUUCUCAAAGAUGCCUGGUUUUAGUACAGUAUUAGGCUUCACACAUCUAAUGUAGUGAGGUUCUGUUGUACUCAGUGUUUCCAUGAGGGAUUGAAGUUGUUGCUGCGUAUAUUACAGUUAAAAGGUUACUGGCCAUUCAAAAGACAAGCAUAGAGAUCUGGCUCCAAUAUGACACACCUUAAAGCGAGUACCGAUUGAAGAGAAUUUGGACUGUUUAGAAGUCUCCUCAGGUAAUGGAGGAAAGAGAUUUGCAACAAAAGGGCACCUUGAAGAAUUUAGUAGAGCUUGGUGUUCAGCUACCACAUAGUCUUUGUUCUUAUCAAGGAACUGAUCUGCUUGAUAUGUGACCUGUUAGUUGAACAGCCUGUUAAAACUCAUUGUUGGUAGAUUGUAUAUUUCAUAUCGUAACUGAAUGGUUGCUUACAUCUCCUGCAUAGUGGUUGAUUGUAAAGGCAGUGCGAGCAAGUUUGGGCUUGCUGAAGCGCUUAUGUGCCUUGUAUGUUUGGUACAUCUUUUGGGCAAAUGUUUCAUGAGUGGACUUUGGAAACAUACUGCAUGAAAAACAUAUGUCACAUCCUUA